rnacentral:rRNA from 1 species
UACAGAGGUCUCAAGCGUUGUUCGGAUUCAUUGGGCGUAAAGGGUGCGUAGGCGGCGCGGUAAGUCGGGUGUGAAAUCUCGGAGCUUAACUCCGAAACUGCAUUCGAUACUGCCGUGCUUGAGGACUGGAGAGGAGACUGGAAUUUACGGUGUAGCAGUGAAAUGCGUAGAUAUCGUAAGGAAGACCAGUGGCGAAGGCGAAUCUCUGGACAGUUACUGACACUGAGGCACGAAGGCCAGGGGAGCAAACGGG